GCGUGCCUAACACAUGCAAGUCGAACGGGACCGGGGGCAACUCCGGUUUAGUGGCGAACGGGUGCGUAACACGUGAGGAACCUGACCAUCGGUGGGGGAUAGCCGGCCCAACGGCCGGGUAAUACCGCGUACGACCUUCGGGGGGCAUCCCUUGGAGGUGAGAGCAGCAAUGCGCCGAUGGAGGGCCUCGCGGCCUAUCAGCUAGUUGGUGAGGUAAUGGCUCACCAAGGCGACGACGGGUAGCUGGUCUGAGAGGAUGGCCAGCCACAUUGGGACUGAGACACGGCCCAGACUCCUACGGGAGGCAGCAGUGGGGAAUCUUGCGCAAUGGGCGAAAGCCUGACGCAGCGACGCCGCGUGUGGGAUGACGGCCUUCGGGUUGUAAACCACUGUCGGGAGGGACGAAGAUCUGACGGUACCUCCAAAGGAAGCACCGGCUAACUCUGUGCCAGCAGCCGCGGUAAUACAGAAGGUGCGAGCGUUGUCCGGAAUCACUGGGCGUAAA
rnacentral:rRNA from 1 species